CACACGCUCCUUAGAUCCACCUUUGGGAUGUAUCUGUUCUGUGUUGCUGGUAGAUCUCUUUGCACCCUAGUGUUGGGCUCUCCAGUGGGCUGGCAGGUAACAUUCAUCAACUUUAGUGUUGAGCAGUCAUAGGUGCUUGAGUCAUUGGCAUGUUAAAGUAAUAUACUAGCACGGUAGCCCCUCAGUUCUGAUGUGAAUAAGCUGUUACUCCAGGCUGUUUCUGCCAUCAGGACUUUGCUGUUGUGUGGAAACU